GCUUUUUGGGACACCCACACGAUACUUUCAUUAUCUGGAAAAUUCAGAGAACUCCACUUGAAUCGACCAUAAAGUUUUUCAUUAUCUCUCGUCUCUGAUUACUUUGAAUCUUUCAUCAUUCUCUAUCGGAAUUCAUAUCCGGGAAAUCAAAUUUCGAUUCGAUUCUGUAGUUUUUCUUUUCUAUCUUGUGAUACUCGUAAAUCGGCUCCAGAACGAAGAAAUUAUCGAUCAUUAUGUUGUCUCUCUGAUUCAAUAACUUGGUUUUAUAAAUAAUUUAGAUUUGAUUUGAUGUUAUGAUGGAUUCGUAGAAAUUGUUUGGUAGGGUUUUUGGAUAGAGUCUUCGGUGAGGAAUAUCCAAUUUCAGAAAUCUUAGCUCGAUUCGAAGAUGGAAUCUGUUAUGUCGUAUGUGAAAUGGGAGUUUGGGAAUGAAAUGGUAGAUUAUGCAGUUCUGACCUAAUUAAACUGUAAAGCUAAUUCUUUGAUGAAAUAACUUCACAGAAUAUACAGCGUAAGCACGAUGAUCAUAUAUAUGUUUACUAUAUCUUAUGAUCAUAUGUUUACAGAAUAUACAGCGUAAGCACGAUGAUCAUAUGUGAACAUUACAUAUUUUGUUUUUUUAUUGGUGCUCAAAUUAUAAUACAAAUCAAACUAUGUGAUAUUUGCAGAGAUGCAAGAGGAAAGACGACAUUUAUAUGAUUCCUUAUGUUGAUCCUACAACUAGCUUGUCUUAAAAGAUUGAGGGUGAUCUCUGUAUUUUUUUCUGUAUCUAAGCAUGUGAUGAACAUUGGAAAGGAACGAUUGCUCUACUGGAAAUGUUACUUGUUUCAUUCUACUUUAACCUUGUAGAAUAUUUUUAUGUUGCAGCAAGACGAGACAUGCUUCAACCAAGUCUAAGGAGAGCUUCUUAUUGCAUCUUAGAUGAGACGGGAUCGAGGUUAAUCUAAGAGGGAACCAGAACACAUGAGGGUUGUUACAAAGACGGGAGCUUUUUUAGAAGAGUACUACAAAUAUGUAGGCAAUAUUGUGUGUUGUGCAUAAGAUAGAAAACAGAGUUGCUUUAUGUGUAAUAAGUAAUAACAUAUUAAUUAUUUAAUUUUAUAUCAAUAAUUUGAUUAUUUGGAAUCAUGUUUUGUAAAUCCUAGUGGAAUCACAUUUUUACAAAUUUUCGUACAUUUAAUAAUUAAUUAAUAUGAAUAUAAAAA